rnacentral:rRNA from 1 species
AGAGUUUGAUCCUGGCUCAGAACUAACGCUGGCGGCGUGCCUAACACAUGCAAGUCGAACGAGAAAAUCCUGGCUUGCCGGGAUGAGUAAAGUGGCGAACGGGUGAGUAGUACGUGGGUAACCUGCCUUUUAGUUAGGGAUAACACUACGAAAGUGGUGCUAAUACCCAAUAAGCUUACGGUUUAUCUAAGAACAGUAAGAAAAGGUGGCCUCUGUUUCAUGCUAUCGCUAAAAGAUGGGCCCGCGCACCAUUAGCUUGUUGGCAGGGUAACGGCCUACCAAGGCUACGAUGGUUAGCUGGCCUGAGAGGGUGGUCAGCCACACUGGAACUGAGACACGGUCCAGACUCCUACGGGAGGCAGCAGUGAGGAAUAUUGCGCAAUGGGGGAAACCCUGACGCAGCAACGCCGUGUGAGUGAUGAAGGUCUUCGGAUCGUAAAGCUCUGUCAGAUGGGAAGAAUAGAAGCAGGGAGAAUAUUUCUGUUUCAUGACGGUACCAUCAGAGGAAGCACCGGCUAACUCCGUGCCAGCAGCCGCGGUAAUACGGAGGGUGCAAGCGUUGUUCGGAAUUACUGGGCGUAAAGGGCAUGUAGGCGGGUUCAUGGGUCAGAUGUGAAAUCCCUCAGCUCAACUGAGGAAGUGCAUCUGAAACUAUGUAUCUUGAGUGCGAGAUGGGAAAGUGGAAUUCCCAGUGUAGAGGUGAAAUUCAUAGAUAUUGGGAAGAAUACCGGUGGCGAAGGCGGCUUUCUGGCUCGAUACUGACGCUGAGAUGCGAAAGCGUGGGGAGCAAACAGGAUUAGAUACCCUGGUAGUCCACGCAGUAAACGAUGUGCACUAGGUGUUGGAGGUAAUUAAACUUUCAGUGCCAAAGCUAACGCAUUAAGUGCACCGCCUGGGGAUUACGGUCGCAAGGCUAAAACUCAAAGGAAUUGACGGGGGCCCGCACAAGCGGUGGAGUAUGUGGUUUAAUUCGGCGCAACGCGAAAAACCUUACCUGGGUUUGACAUCCCGGUCGUAUUCUCUGGAAACAGAGAAGUCAGUUCGGCUGGACCGGUGACAGGUGCUGCAUGGCUGUCGACAGCUCGUGUCGUGAGAUGUUGGGUUAAGUCCCGCAACGAGCGCAACCCCUACCAUUAGUUGCCAUCAUUCAGUGGGAACUCUAAUGGACCGCUCGUUACGUGAGGAGGGGGGAUGACGUCAGUCCUCAUGCCCUUAUGCCCGGCUCCACGUACUACAUGUCGAUAAGGGUCGCAGCUGGAAGUAGCUAUCCAAAGUCGUCCGUCGAUGAUCUGCACCAUCCUGAGUCGAUCCUAUAUCGCGACACUGUGGGUAACGUCUCGGCUGACACGCCGUCACCCGAGUAUGGUCUGAAACAUGGUAAUCGUUACGAGCAAUCCGUAUAGCAAUGGUGACGUAACAGUACGUACUCAUGAUCGCGCCGCGAUGCACC